rnacentral:rRNA from 1 species
UGGGGAAUCUUCCGCAAUGGACGAAAGUCUGACGGAGCAACGCCGCGUGAGUGAUGACGGCCUUCGGGUUGUAAAGCUCUGUUAAUCGGGACGAAUGGUUCUUGUGCGAAUAGUGCAAGGAUUUGACGGUACCGGAAUAGAAAGCCACGGCUAACUACGUGCCAGCAGCCGCGGUAAUACGUAGGUGGCAAGCGUUGUCCGGAAUUAUUGGGCGUAAAGCGCGCGCAGGCGGAUUGGUCAGUCUGUCUUAAAAGUUCGGGGCUUAACCCCGUGAUGGGAGGGAAACUGCCAAUCUAGAGUAUCGGAGAGGAAAGUGGAAUUCCUAGUGGAGCGGUGAAAUGCGUAGAUAUUAGGAAGAACACCAGUGGCGAAGGCGACUUUCUGGACGAAAACUGACGCUGAGGCGCGAAAGCCAGGGGAGCGAACGGG